rnacentral:rRNA from 1 species
CUUAAAUAAAUUUAAAAGCGACGGGCAAUAUGUGCAUAUUUAAUUUAAAAUUAAAAUAAAAAAUUUAUUAAAUUUUAAUUUUAAAUCCAAUUUCAAAACAAUUAUUUACAAUUGAAAAUUCAAAAUAAUUAUAAAUUAAUGUAUCUCAUUUUAAAUUUAAAUUAUAAUAUAUAUUAUGAUUUGAAUUUUAUUUUUUAAAAAUUAAUAAAAAUAAUUUUUUAAUAUUAUUUAUACAACAAUAUAUAAUAAAAAAAAAAAUUUAAUAAAUUUUAUUGUGAAUUAUCAAUUAAUAAACAAAAUCCUCUAAUUCUUUUAAAUACUACCAAAUUAUUUAAUUUUAAAUAUUUUAUUUAUUAAUUAUUAUUUAUUUUUAUUUUAAUAAUA